GCUAAAGGAGUCUUCUUCUGGGUGUUUGCUGAUGGCACCUACAAAGUUACCAAUGAUCUUGUUGGCGAGACUGUACUUGCAGAGGGACAGUCUGGUACUGAGGUAUAUGGCUGGUACACCUUGUCACUCACUGUAAAAUAUGCAUCAGGGUCACUGAAUGGAUACCCUCUGUGGAAGAAUGCUGUGGUACUGACCCCAAAGGCUGGCUGGGCUGCCAUAGGAACACGCUCAUUUGAACUGGCCCAGUUUGAUAACUUUGCUUUGGUGGCAGAGUGAUUAAUUUACUUUAAAUCAUGAUUUACACUAUGCUAUGAAUGUUCUGAUUCAUUUAUGGACUUGAUUAGUACUUUACAGCCGAUAGCUUCAAGCAUGUUUGUAAAAUUUGGGGCGAUGUAUUGACAGAAAUGGGUUGUAAUAUUUAAUUAGCAUGUAACCACGCCGUAAUUAUCAUUGUGGUUUCUGUUCAGGACUGAGUCUUAAUAUGACAGGAUCAUUCCAAGAAAAACAAUGUCUUUCUACAGCUCACAGCCAACAAAACACUGGUUUAAGACCUUUCUUUGAAGAAAUGCCUUCAAAUAAGGACUUCAAGAUAAGGCUGGAAAUGUGUUGGGGCAUAACUUGUAGUGAGUCGCCUGUUUGUAGCACAUUAGAAUCCAUCACACUUGUACAGCCUGGUGUUAGAAUCAAACGACCAUAUUAGUAUUUGGUGUUAGCCGUGUAGUUGGCUUGUCACUACCAUAGGAGCAUCCCUCAGUUUCUCAGUGGGCUCCACCCUCACUUGUUGCAUCUGUUUUCAAAACAGCUAAGUUUCAACACCCCAAA
ensembl:lncRNA